rnacentral:rRNA from 1 species
UACGUAGGGGGCAAGCGUUGUCCGGAUUUAUUGGGCGUAAAGAGCGUGUAGGCGGCCAGGUAGGUGGGUUGUGAAAACUGGAGGCUCAACCUUCAGAGGUCGACCCAACCCCUGGCUAGAGUCCGGAAGAGGAGAGUGGAAUUCCUGGUGUAGCGGUGAAAUGCGCAGAUAUCAGGAAGAACACCCGUGGCGAAGGCGGCUCUCUGGGACGGUACUGACGCUGAGACGCGAAAGCGUGGGGAGCGAACAGG